AAUCAACGCUGGCGGCGUGCCUAACACAUGCAAGUCGAACGCGAAAAGGGGCAACCCUGAGUAGAGUGGCGUCCGGGUGAGUAACACGUGGAUAAUCUGCCUGCGGGGCGGGGGAAUAACUUUCCGAAAGGGGAGCUAAUACCGCAUAACACCGUAAUAGGGCAUCCUGAUACGGUCAAAGAGGGGGAUCGCAAGACCUCUCGCCUGCAGAGGAGUCCGCGGCCGAUUAGCUAGUGGCGAGGUAACGGCUCACCAAGGCAGCGAUCGGUAGCCGGCCUGAGAGGGCGAACGGCCACACUGGUACUGAAAUACGGGCCAGACUCCUACGGGAGGCAGCAGUGGGGAAUUUGGGCAAUGGCCGAAAGGCUGACCCAGCAACGCCGCGUGAAGGAU
rnacentral:rRNA from 1 species